AUUACCACAUAAACGUCAACUGUUGAAUGCUCUACUCUAGAAAAAGUUAACAGAAACUUGUUGCUAGAAUUUCAGCAAAUGGAAAUAAUGUUGUUGUUCUAAUGCAGGCUGGUACACUUGAUAGUGCACAUUGGGUUGGUGGUCAUCAUGAUUGAUUAUCAAUACAUUGGGCCACCAAAAUGUUGGUCCAUCAGCUCUAUCAAUAUCAACAGAAAAAUUAUUAUCAUUUUAAUGAUACUGUGAUAUUCAUAUGACAACGAAGUCAAGUAUAUUAAUGUGAUGGAUUUAGUGACGAAUAUAAUAUAUCUGGAAAAUCAGAUAAAUAUAUCACGACUAAAUUUAAAUAAUUUAGUUGAUAUAUUACAUCAAUGUCAAUGCAGAAAUAUUAAGAAAAGUUUUCGUGAGUUAGUAACAUGACCAAAUUCCACAAUAUGUAUUGGAUAAAUUGAUAAGGUUGCGUCAUCACAAUCUGUCAAUAAUUACUUGUCUGCUACUUGAACAGUUUUUGAUGGAAAAUUUGCAAAAAAAAAUAAUGAUGAAGAUGUAACAAUUGGUUCAGCAAAUAAACAAAAUCGAGCACCAUCAACUUCAUCUUCAUUACCAUUUCAAUAACAAAGUGGUAAUUCAUUUGUUGAACCAGGAACAAAUAUAUCUGAUAAUCUGCAUUAGAACUUUGUUAUCAAAAAUAAAAUAAUGAAAAUA